AACACAUACCUUCAAGAAUCGUUUGUUAUCAGAGAAGUUUCGCGGAUGAUGUAGAGCACCAGAAACCACGAGGAGGAGCUCGAGCAUCUUCUCCUGAGCCUGAAGCCAGCUCUGGGGGUCCUUUAGCGUGUUCUUCCCUUGGAAGAGGGAGACGGCGAGGAUGCAGUCUGAGUGG
rnacentral:snoRNA from 1 species